rnacentral:rRNA from 1 species
UUGCAAGUCUAACCAAGCAAAAAGAAACUUUAAGUUUGCCCUCCCGAAACUAAGCGAGCUACUUCAAAACAGCCCAAGGGGCCAACCCAUCUCUGUUGCAAUAGAGCGGGAAGAUUUUCAAGUAGAGGCGACAUACCUACCGAGCUUAGUGAUAGCUGGUUGUUCAGGAAAAGAGUCUCAGCUCUACCUUAAGUUUUUCCCACUAAACCUAAACAACCCCCAAACUUAAGAGCUAUACAAACAAGGCACAGCUUGUUCGUAACAGGACACAACCUCUAACACAGGGUAAACAAAGGUGACCUAGACAAAGUAGGCCUAGAAGCAGCCACCUACUAAAAAGCGUUACAGCUUAACCUUGCCCACCCAUAAUCACACAACCCCCUAUCAACCCUUACCCCCUACUGAACCACUUUAUACCUUAUAAAAGCUAUUAUGCUAGAACUAGUAACAAGAACCCCCACUUCUCCUAAAUGUAAACAUAAACCAAAACGGACCCUCCAUUGGCCAUUAACGUAAAUGCACUCUCCAUAACAACCCACACUAGAAAACCCUAUAGCACAAAACGUUAACCUUACACCAGAGCAUUCAAGGAAAGAUUAAAAGAAAGAGAAGGAACUCGGCAAACCUUAGCCCCGCCUGUUUACCAAAAACAUCGCCUCUUGACACACAUAAGAGGUCCAGCCUGCCCAGUGACAAAGUUUAACGGCCGCGGUACCCUGACCGUGCGAAGGUAGCAUAAUCACUUGUUCUUUAAAUCUAGGACUCGUAUCAAUGGCAUCACGAGGGCUAUACUGUCUCCUCUCUCCAAUCAGUGAAACUGAUCUCCCCGUGAAGAAGCGGGGAUUUUACUAUAAGACGAGAAGACCCCAUGGAGCUUUAAACACGAUAUUAACCCUACCCCCAUACACCAACUAAGCCUUAAAGACCUUAAUAUCUGUUUUAGGUUGGGGUGACCGCGGAGUAGAACACAACCUCCACGACUAACGGGCCACACCCUUAUCCACGAACCACAAUUCCAAGAAUCAACAAACUGACGUUUAUGACCCGAUAACUCGAUCAACGAACCAAGUUACCCUGGGGAUAACAGCGCAAUCCACUUCAAGAGGCCCUAUCGACAAGUGGGUUUACGACCUCGAUGUUGGAUCAGGGUAUCCCAGUGGUGCAGCCGCUA